rnacentral:rRNA from 1 species
AUACGGAGGGUGCAAGCGUUAUUCGGAAUCACUGGGCGUAAAGGACGCGUAGGCGGGUUGGCAAGUCAGAUGUGAAAUCCUACAGCUUAACUGUAGAACUGCAUUUGAAACUGCUAACCUAGAGUAUGGGAGGGGGAGAUGGAAUUAGUAGUGUAGGGGUAAAAUCCGUAGAUAUCACUAGGAAUACCGAAAGCGAAGGCGAUCUCCUGGAACAUAACUGACGCUAAGGCGUGAAAGCGUGGGGAGCAAACAGGAUUAGAUACCCUAGUAGUCC